UUAAAUUGAAGAGUUUGAUCAUGGCUCAGAUUGAACGCUGGCGGCAGGCCUAACACAUGCAAGUCGAACGGUAACAGGAAGCAGCUUGCUGCUUUGCUGACGAGUGGCGGACGGGUGAGUAAUGUCUGGGAAACUGCCUGAUGGAGGGGGAUAACUACUGGAAACGGUGGCUAAUACCGCAUAAUGUCGCAAGACCAAAGAGGGGGACCUUCGGGCCUCUUGCCAUCAGAUGUGCCCAGAUGGGAUUAGCUUGUUGGUGAGGUAACGGCUCACCAAGGCGACGAUCCCUAGCUGGUCUGAGAGGAUGACCAGCCACACUGGAACUGAGACACGGUCCAGACUCCUACGGGAGGCAGCAGUGGGGAAUAUUGCACAAUGGGCGCAAGCCUGAUGCAGCCAUGCCGCGUGUAUGAAGAAGG
rnacentral:rRNA from 2 species